rnacentral:rRNA from 1 species
CUAACAAGGAUUCCCUUAGUAGCGGCGAGCGAACCGGGAAGAGCCCAGCUUGAAAAUCGCGCCGUUCCGCGGCGCGAGUUGUAGUCUGGAGAAGUGUCCUCUGCAGCGGACCCGGCCUAAGUCCCCUGGAAAGGGGCGUCGGAGAGGGUGAGAACCCCGUCGGGCCGGGACCCUGCUGCUCCACGAGGCGCUGUCGACGAGUCGGGCUGUUUGGGAAUGCAGCCCUAAGAGGGAGGUAAAUUCCUUCCAAGGCUAAAUACGGGCGGGAGACCGAUAGCGAACAAGUACCGCGAGGGAAAGAUGAAAAGGACUUUGAAAAGAGAGUUAAAAAGUGCUUGAAAUUGCUGGGAGGGAAGCGAAUGGAGGCCUCGUGUGCGCCCCGGUCGGAUGCGGAACGGCUGCGUAAGCUGGUCCGCCGCUCGACGCGGGGCGCUGGUCGGCGUGGGCUUCCCCGGCGGGAUAAAAGUCGGCCUUCGUGGCCGGCCUAUGCCGUCGGGGAGGCCGAGGAUACCUUUUUUUGGUGGAAGCGCGCGCCCCCUUCGGGGGGCGGGCCCCUUCGGGGGCGCCUGCGCGCUCGGGACGUCGGCGCAGUGGGCUUUUCAUCCGACCCGUCUUGAAACACGGACCAAGGAGUCUAACAUGCAUGCGAGCCGGUGGGCGGCAAACCCACGCGAGGCGCAAAUAACUUGACGAAGGUGUGAUCCUCCCCCGAGGGGUGCAACAUCGACCGACCAUGAUCUUCUGUGAAAGGUUCGAGUAAGAGCAUGCCUGUUGGGACCCGAAAGAUGGUGAACUAUGCCUGAGCAGGGCGAAGUCAGAGGAAACUCUGGUGGAGGCUCGUAGCGAUACUGACGUGCAAAUCGUUCGUCAGACUCGGGUAUAGGGGCGAAAGACUAAUCGAACCAUCUAGUAGCUGGUUCCCUCCGAAGUUUCCCUCAGGAUAGCCGGAGCACGAGGAGUUUCAUCAGGUAAAGCGAAUGAUUAGAGGCAUCGGGGGUGAAACACCCUCGACCUAUUCUCAAACUUUAAAUAGGUGAGAUCCGACUCAGGGGUUGCUCGAUUGAACCCCCGGAAAGGAAUCCGAACG